rnacentral:rRNA from 1 species
GACGAACGCUGGCGGCGCGCCUAACACAUGCAAGUCGGACGAGAAAGAAGGAGCUUGCUUCUUCGAUCGAGUGGCGAACGGGUGAGUAACGCGUGAGGAACCUGCCUCAAAGAGGGGGACAACAGUUGGAAACGACUGCUAAUACCGCAUAAGCCCACGGGUCGGCAUCGACCAGAGGGAAAAGGAGCAAUCCGCUUUGAGAUGGCCUCGCGUCCGAUUAGCUGGUUGGUGAGGUAACGGCCCACCAAGGCGACGAUCGGUAGCCGGACUGAGAGGUGGAACGGCCACAAUGGGACUGAGACACGGCCCAGACUCCUACGGGAGGCAGCAGUGGGGAAUAUUGCACAAUGGGGGAAACCCUGAUGCAGCGGCGCCGCGUGGAGGAAGAAGGUCUUCGGAUUGUAAACUCCUGUUGUUGAGGAAGAUAAUGACGGUACUCAACAAGGAAGUGACGGCUAACUACGUGCCAGCCGCCGCGGUAA